CAUAAUUAGAAAAGUAUCACCAUUUUCCUGGGACAAAAAUAUGUAAGUUUAAACAUUUUUAGUGCCAGGUCAGUAGUCACGAUUUACCAACAGCAUUUUUUAUUUUAAAAAUACAGUUAGUGACUACACCAUUGGCUAACAAACUGAGACUUAAAGCAUUCUCUAGAUGCAAAUGCUACAAAUAAAUCAAAUUAUUAGGCAUAUUCACUAAUACUUACAAACUUAACUUCAUAUAUAAAGCAAGGUAGAUCACCAGUGUGGCCAUGCAAACAGGGUUUGAGGACUUCAAUAUUUAAAGCAAGUUAGUCCAACCCACAGCCCAAGGGCCACAUGCAGCCCAGGAUGGCUUUGAAUGAGGCCCAACACAAAUUAGCAAAUUACUAAACUUACUUAAAAUGAUGGGAUUUUAUUUUUUGCCAUUUUUUGGUUUGUGUGUUUGGUUUUUAGCUCAUCAGCUUUGUUAGUGUUAGUGUAUUUUAUGUGUGGCCCAAGACAAUACUUCCAAUGUGGCCCAGGGAAGCCAAAAGAUUGGACACUCCUGAUUUAAAGGGAAAAGGGAGGGCAGAUGAAGAAAGAGGAUAAAAAAAAGAGAGAGAAGGUAGACAAAACAGGAAAGUGGUUAGUCUUUGGAGGCUUUGAUUAGCACUUACUGAAUCUACAUUUUACAUGUGAAAGGAGUGGGUAGCGAAACAGUGAAUUAUGCAUAGUGCUCAGUGCGUCUGCAUUUUUGCAUAAGAUAAAGUAAACAUAGAGGAGGUGCUCAAAUAUGCAUUCCUCUCAGGUGAGCCAAGGGAUGCCCUCUAGGCCUGUCUUUGUCAAGGUACCGGUGAAGAUAAGCUGUUAGUUUACAUUGUCAAGGUGAAAUAGAACAGCGUUCUGUUUUAGGGUAAAGCUCUUGGGGCCCACGAGGAAUUUCCUUGUGAGCAAUUUGUGAAGGAGGCCACCGGGGGAGACAUGUGGCCUUCUGUCUUUGCAGCUAUCUACUUAGGAACAAAAUGGAAGGCAGUUUUUGCAUGAUGCAGUUACUGAGCUUCACUUUUCCCUUUGGCAUAGUGAGUUUGGGGUCCUGAGAUUUUUAUAUUCCUUUCACAGCCUCACUAUACUUGAAUUAAAAUACAAUCUACAUGUUAAAACUGACCACAUCAUUCUUUCCUGUGUGUCUUCAAAGGAUUUAAGGCCCAUCCAGAUAAUCCAAGAUGAUCUCAUUUCAAAGCCUUAAUUAUAUCUUUGAUGACUCUUUUUCCAAAUAAGGUCUCAAUUAGAGGUUCCUGGAAUAAGACACGGACUCAUCUCCCUGGGGGCCACCAUUCAGCCUGAUCCGGAAGGAAGGCCAUGAUUUCAGCUCUCUGGGAUUUGAGACAAAGAGGCCCCUUUUCUUUCAUUUUAUCUUUUCAUGUCUCUUCUUGCCAUGUACCCACAUGAUUGAGUGUGGGCUGAGGGUGAAUCCAAGAAGGGCUUUGUUUUGUGGUCAGUACAGGCUUUGGUCCACAGAGACAACAAUACUUUCAAUACUCUUUUGUUCUGCCCCAGAGGAGCUCAACACAGAAUUGCCUAGAACAAGAAACUGGUGAGAGAAGCUGCAGCCUGUUGAGACUCCACAAGACUGAAGAUAUGAAAAGAGGAAAUAUGCAUGAAUGCCCGCACGGAGAACCACCCCCACCUGCUGCUCCCGCUCUAAUGAUCACGCCCAUUAUCAACUGGGGGAUGGCUCUGUGCCUUGUCCUUGCAUUACAUGGACCAAGAACACUUCACAGGACUCAGAGAGGCAAAAAUAGAUACAAAAGAAGAAGGAAUUACAGAAGAAGUCACAUAACAUUAUUGCCUACAACUGACUGUUUACCUUGAAUACUUGAAGACCAGAAUGAAGAUUCUUGGGGUGAAGAAUUACAGCCUUAGCAUGGAGCAGGCCUCGGUGCAUCGGCUUUCAGCUAGGCAUGCCUGCCAAUGUUCAACGUCCUCCUGGGAUACGGAAGGCACCGUGAUAGACAUCUGGGCAAGUCAACAGGAAGGUGGAUAUCCAAAUCUCUCUCUUCGCAAUGAGUUUCCAGUUAGAUGGAGGAGAGAGUAAUAAAACACAGAGCUGAGAUUCCUGACUUCACAGAUCCCUGAGGAGAUGUUUACUAAAGGGAAUCUUCUGGUCACUGUUACCUUCCUCCGUACUUACCUGCCUCAUGGAUAACACUGAAGAAUGCAGUUUACUUACAUCUUUUUCUGUUUGACAGAAGACAGUUAUUAUGGACUCCUGCACAUUCACAGUCCUGGAAGGAGCCUGUCCACAUUGGCAUUCUGGAAGUCCAUAAAAGACAAACGCAUAUGCAGUCCCCGAGAAAGCAUUGUUGUAAACAAAUCUGCACUAGAUGGAAACUCUGUUAUGUGGUGCCGGCAUGCAUGGAAGAGAACCCGAAAGGAAGAAGCUAUACGACUGGGGACACAUGUCUUAGAAGCACACUCAUUAGAUAAAGUGUCGCAUACUCUUUGAUAAGACAACCCUUACAAGAUUUUUGCCCAGCGAAAGUGGCACGUGGAACAUGGAAUGACAUUUCAUAAAGAUAAAUCCAGAGAUUAGUGCUGAAGACUACACCCCUGUGUAGUCCCACACAGGCUACCCCAGACCAGCCUGGCGGGCUCUGCACUAGGCCUCCCAUCAGGCGAGAGCCAACGCUCCUCAGCCCGGCUCCACCUCAUUCAGAAGAAAGUGUGUCUCCCGG
rnacentral:lncRNA from 10 species